UACGGGGGGGGGUAAGCGUUGUUCGGAAUUACUGGGCGUAAAGGGCUCGUAGGCGGCCAACUAAGUCAUACGUGAAAUCCCUCAGCUUAACUGGGGAACUGCGUGUGAUACUGGAUGGCUUGGAUUUGGGAGAGGAUGCGGAAUUCCAGGUGGUAGCGGUGAAAUGCGUAGAUAUCUGGAGGAACACCGGGUGGCGAAGCGGCAUCCUGGACCAAUAUUGACGCUGAGGAGCGAAAGCUAGGGGAGCAAACGGG
rnacentral:rRNA from 1 species